rnacentral:rRNA from 1 species
GACGAACGCUGGCGGCGUGCUUAACACAUGCAAGUCGAACGGUGAAGCCCUUCGGGGUGGAUCAGUGGCGAACGGGUGAGUAACACGUGAGCAACCUGCCCCUGGCUCUGGGACAACCACUGGAAACGGUGGCUAAUACCGUAUACGACCCGCCUCGGCAUCGAGUGUGGGUGGAAAGUUUUUCGGCUGGGGAUGGGCUCGCGGCCUAUCAGCUUGUUGGUGAGGUGAAGGCUCACCAAGGCGACGACGGGUAGCCGGCCUGAGAGGGCGACCGGCCACACUGGGACUGAGACACGGCCCAGACUCCUACGGGAGGCAGCAGUGGGGAAUAUUGCACAAUGGGCGAAAGCCUGAUGCAGCGACGCCGCGUGAGGGAUGACGGCCUUCGGGUUGUAAACCUCUUUCAGCUCCGAAGAAGCGAAAGUGACGGUAGGAGCAGAAGAAGCACCGGCUAACUACGUG